rnacentral:rRNA from 1 species
UACGUAGGGUGCGAGCGUUAAUCGGAAUUACUGGGCGUAAAGCGUGCGCAGGCGGUUCUCCAAGUCCGUUGUGAAAGCCCCGGGCUCAACCUGGGAAUGGCAGUGGAAACUAGGGGACUGGAAUCUGGCAGAGGGGGUGGAAUGCCGCGUGUAGCAGUGAAAUGCGUAGAGAUGCGGCGGAACACCGAUGGCGAAGGCAGCCCCCUGGGCUGAGAUUGACGCUCAGGCACGAAAGCGUGGGGAGCAAACAGG